rnacentral:rRNA from 1 species
ACGAACGCUGGCGGCAUGCCUAACACAUGCAAGUCGAGCGCCCGUAGCAAUACGGGAGCGGCGCACGGGUGAGUAGCGCGUGGGAACCUGCCCAGAGGUUCGGGACAACCGCGGGAAACUGCGGCUGAUACCGGAUGAUGCCUGAGGGCCAAAGAUUUAUCGCCUUUGGAGGGGCCCGCGUCGGAUUAGGUAGUUGGUGCGGUAACGGCGCACCAAGCCAAUGAUCCGUAGCUGGUCUGAGAGGAUGAUCAGCCACACUGGGACUGAGACACGGCCCAGACUCCUACGGGAGGCAGCAGUGGGGAGUAUUGGACAAUGGGGGCAACCCUGAUCCAGCAAUGCCGCGUGGGUGAUGAAGGCCUUCGGGUUGUAAAGCCCUUUCGGCGGGGACGAUGAUGACGGUACCCGCAGAAGAAGCCCCGGCUAACUUCGU